rnacentral:rRNA from 1 species
GAUGAACGCUGGCGGCGUGCCUAAUACAUGCAAGUCGAGCGAACAGUUGAGGAGCUUGCUCCUCUGACGUUAGCGGCGGACGGGUGAGUAACACGUGGAUAACCUACCUAUAAGACUGGGAUAACUUCGGGAAACCGGAGCUAAUACCGGAUAAUAUAUUGAACCGUAUGGUUCAAUAGUGAAAGACGGUUUUGCUGUCACUUAUAGAUGGAUCCGCGCCGCAUUAGCUAGUUGGUAAGGUAACGGCUUACCAAGGCAACGAUGCGUAGCCGACCUGAGAGGGUGAUCGGCCACACUGGAGCUGAGACACGGUCCAGACUCCUACGGGAGGCAGCAGUAGGGAAUCUUCCGCAAUGGGCGAAAGCCUGACGGAGCAACGCCGCGUGAGUGAUGAAGGUCUUCGGAUCGUAAAACUCUGUUAUUAGGGAAGAACAAAUGUGUAAGUAACUAUGCACGUCUUGACGGUACCUAAUCAGAAAGCCACGGCUAACUACGUG